ACUUUCAUCAUCAUCAAGAAACUAUAAACAAAAUGACUUAAGUAAAUGCAUAGGAAUGCUUUGUUUAAUAUCUUCAAUAAGGUAUCGAAUGCCAGCACAUAAAGAGCUCUUUGUUGUUCAUUUUGGGUAUAAAAUAAGGAAGAACUCCCUUGAACUCAAAGGAAGACGUUAUAUAUUUGAGGAAAGACACGCAAGUGAACUAUACAAAACUGAAAGAGACGUAAAAAUCUCAUUGAGGAAAAAACCGUUGGAAGGAAUUUUCUUUAUUAGCAAGUUCGUACUCAAACAUGAAAGCAACUCUAGCAUCACUUCUCGUAAUCAGUAUCCUACUCCAAAUACAUCCAGCUGAGUUCUCAGUUCUUCCACAAAGAGAUUCAAGAACCAAAUACAGCAAGGCAGUUCUUCAAAAGAGAGGAGGAAUCCUGAAUGAAAAUCCCUGCUUCACCAAUUGUGCUAAGAGUACCCAUAGCUGUAUGUUUACGUGUACUGAUCUUCGUGUAAGCUACCUGACGUGCAGCAAUAUGUGUGAAGGAAGACAGUUCGUGAAUUGUCUUAUGGAAUGUCCAUUGUAGACAGCAUUAAACGUAAAUAUUUCUCUAA